UACAGAGACUGCAAGCGUUAUUCGGAUCACUGGGCGUAAAGGGUGCGCAGGCGGUUGGGUGUGUCAGAUGUGAAAUCCCGAGGCUUAACCUCGGAACUGCGUCUGAAACUACUCGACUAGAGUACUGGAGAGGGAAACGGAAUUCACGGUGUAGCAGUGAAAUGCGUAGAUAUCGUGAGGAACACCAGAGGCGAAGGCGGUUUCCUGGACAGUUACUGACGCUCAGGCACGAAAGCAUGGGGAGCAAAAGGG
rnacentral:rRNA from 1 species